UGGGGGAAUUUUGGACAAUGGGGCGAAAGCCUGAUCCAGCAAUGCCGCGUGUGUGAAGAAGGCCUUCGGGUUGUAAAGCACUUUUGUCCGGAAAGAAAUCCUUGGCUCUAAUACAGUCGGGGGAUGACGGUACCGGAAGAAUAAGCACCGGCUAACUACGUGCCAGCAGCCGCGGUAAUACGUAGGGUGCAAGCGUUAAUCGGAAUUACUGGGCGUAAAGCGUGCGCAGGCGGUUUGCUAAGACCGAUGUGAAAUCCCCGGGCUCAACCUGGGAACUGCAUUGGUGACUGGCAGGCUAGAGUAUGGCAGAGGGGGGUAGAAUUCCACGUGUAGCAGUGAAAUGCGUAGAGAUGUGGAGGAAUACCGAUGGCGAAGGCAGCCCCCUGGGCCAAUACUGACGCUCAUGCACGAAAGCGUGGGGAGCAAACAGGAUUAGAUACCCUGGGUAGUCCACGCCCUAAACGAUGUCAACUAGUUGUUGGGGAUUCAUUCCUUAGUAACGUAGCUAACGCGUGAAGUUGACCGCCUGGGGAGUACGGUCGCAAGAUU
rnacentral:rRNA from 1 species